CGGCCGCGUCGACAACACAUGCAAGUCGAGCGGUAACAGGAGAAGCUUGCUUCUCGCUGACGAGCGGCGGACGGGUGAGUAAUACUUAGGAAUCUACCUAGUAGUGGGGGAUAGCUCGGGGAAACUCGAAUUAAUACCGCAUACGACCUACGGGAGAAAGGGGCGAACUUGUUGCUCUCGCUAUUAGAUGAGCCUAAGUCGGAUUAGCUAGAUGGUGGGGUAAAGGCCUACCAUGGCGACGAUCUGUAGCUGGUCUGAGAGGAUGAUCAGCCACACCGGGACUGAGACACGGCCCGGACUCCUACGGGAGGCAGCAGUGGGGAAUAUUGGACAAUGGGGGCAACCCUGAUCCAGCCAUGCCGCGUGUGUGAAGAAGGCCUUUUGGUUGUAAAGCACUUUAAGCAGUGAAGAAGACUCCAUGGUUAAUACCCAUGGACGAUGACAUUAGCUGCAGAAUAAGCACCGGCUAAC
rnacentral:rRNA from 1 species